rnacentral:miRNA from 1 species
AACCAUUAGGGGGCUGUGGUUUGCCAGGGCAGGAGGUGGAAGGGAGCCCCAUUUACAGUGGUAACUUCCUUUCCCUUUCCCUUUCCAUCCUGGCAGGCUUCAGAGAACUUUACCAG